UCCAAGACUAGACUCACGUCCUGAGAACUGCUGUCCUGGUGUGCUCGAGGUCUCGGAGAGAAUCUGCUGGUCUCGACUCACUGGCAAGGGCAGUCAGUGCCCCUGGUAGUGCCCAGAUCAGGAGCACAC